GCACCGGUGGCACAGUGGUUAGGUGUACUUGACUUGGGAUCAAAAGGCCCCAAGUUCAAUUCCUUGCCAUGGCC